rnacentral:rRNA from 1 species
UGGGGAAUAUUGCACAAUGGGCGCAAGCCUGAUGCAGCCAUGCCGCGUGUAUGAAGAAGGCCUUCGGGUUGUAAAGUACUUUCAGAGGGGAGGAAGGCGAUGUGGUUAAUAACCGCGUCGAUUGACGUUACCCGCAGAAGAAGCACCGGCUAACUCCGUGCCAGCAGCCGCGGUAAUACGGAGGGUGCAAGCGUUAAUCGGAAUUACUGGGCGUAAAGCGCACGCAGGCGGUCUGUCAAGUCGGAGGUGAAAUCCCCGGGCUCAACCUGGGAACUGCAUCCGAAACUGGCAGGCUUGAGUCUCGUAGAGGGGGGUAGAAUUCCAGGUGUAGCGGUGAAAUGCGUAGAGAUCUGGAGGAAUACCGGUGGCGAAGGCGGCCCCCUGGACGAAGACUGACGCUCAGGUGCGAAAGCGUGGGGAGCAAACA